AGAGCGCUGCUCGCUUCACAACAGUCUUCACUGAUGAGUGCCCACUUGUUUGUGGUCUGCAGCAAGCGCUAGUGGACGCACGCGCCGCUCCCAACCGAGGCGACGAGCCGCCCAAGGCGACGAGCCUGCCAUUACUCCCGUUCCCAAUCCCACUCUCUCACCACGCAGGCAGGCACCCGCAUUGUUUCAAAAUUCUCGAAUCGGCCCCCUGGUGUGUGGUGGCAGCCGCGCCGGCGGCGGCGAGGGGGCUCUGUGUCUGGGGGGUAAAGCGAGGCGAGGCCCUGCUUUGCGAGCUCGCCGGAGGAGGCGAGCGGAAGGGGAAAAGGAGGCGCGGCAGCGGUGGAGGUGUCUCAAGACUGAGGAGGAGGCGCCGCCCAUGGACACCUCGCGGGGGGUCGCGUGCCUGCUCGUGGCGGUCAUCUGCUUGUCGUGCGCCGCCGCCGCCGCCGCGAGGUCGCCGGCCGCGAGGCUGCACCGCCACCUCAAGCGGCUCAACAAACCGGCCGUGAAGAGUAUCGAGAGUCCAGACGGGGACAUGAUAGACUGCGUGCACAUCUCACAUCAGCCAGCGUUUGAUCACCCCUACCUCAAGAAUCACACAAUCCAGAUGAGGCCGAACUACCACCCCGAAGGCCUGUUCGACGAAUCCAAGACCUCCAGCAGCAGUGGGGAGAGGCCUAUGGUUCAGCUCUGGCAUCAGAAUGGGAUGUGUCCUGAAGGUACAGUCCCCAUCAGGAGAACGAAGAAGGACGACCUGCUCAGGGCAAGCUCAAUGCGGCGGUACGGCAGGAAGCGGCACACCACCGCGAACCCAAUGUCCGUCAACCCCACCAUGCUCAACGAGGGUGGCCAUCAGCAUGCCAUAGCGUAUGUUCAGGGAGACAAGUACUAUGGCGCCAAGGCGACUAUCAAUGUGUGGGAGCCCAAGAUCGAGCAGCCUAACGAGUUCAGCUUGUCCCAGCUCUGGAUCUUGGGGGGCUCAUUUGGGGAGGAUCUGAACAGCAUCGAGGCUGGAUGGCAGGUUAGUCCAGACCUCUAUGGGGAUAACAACACAAGGCUGUUCACGUACUGGACUAGUGAUGCAUACCAGGCAACAGGGUGCUACAACAUGCUGUGCUCAGGGUUCAUUCAGGUUAACAACCAGAUUGCCAUGGGAGCCAGCAUCUUCCCAACCUCAAGCUACUCUGGUUCCCAAUAUGAUAUCAGUAUACUGAUCUGGAAGGACCCAAAGGAGGGCAACUGGUGGAUGCAAUUCGGCAAGGAUUACGUGCUCGGCUACUGGCCGUCCUUUCUCUUCUCGUACCUGGCGGACAGCGCUUCGAUGAUCGAGUGGGGUGGGGAGGUGGUGAACUCGCAGCCAGACGGCGUGCACACCUCGACGCAGAUGGGCAGCGGGCACUUCCCGGAGGAAGGGUUCAGCAAGGCGAGCUACUUCAAGAACAUCCAGGUGGUGGACAGCACCAACAACCUCAAGGCCCCCAAGGGGCUGGGCACCUUCACUGAGCAGUCAAACUGCUACGACGUGCAGAACGGCAACAACGGCGACUGGGGCACCUACUUCUACUACGGCGGCCCUGGGAGGAGCUCCAACUGCCAGUAACUUUCAAGGUGUGACAGCCAUCGGAGUGGUAAUACAUCAGUUUUCUGGUAGCUCUAGGUAGUAGUAUGUGAUGUGAAUGGGUGGGUCUGUCUUUUGUUUGUGCUGGUGGCUUCACUUGUAGUAGUUUCUCUCUUGAGUUUCUUCUUGUUCUCUUUUCAUUAGUGCCAGGAUAGCUUCUGAAGAGAAGCAUGGCACCCUUAUGGUGGCCUACCUCCUUUUCCUAUAUGGUAGAUUCACUUGUCCUUGUGGUUAUGGGCUGUGCCUCUUUUUUUCCCUGUCACCCUUUUUUUCACCUUUGAUGGAUGUCAGUGUGGCGCACCGAAAGGUGGAAUGGGCAGAAUUCAGAUCUAGGCCAGCA